GACGAACGCUGGCGGCGUGCUUAACACAUGCAAGUCGAAGAUAGUGGCGAACGGGUGAGUAAUACGUGGGAACCUGCCCUCCUGUUUGGGAUAAGCCUUGGAAACGGGGUCUAAUACAGAAUGAGGGGGAUGGGCUUUCGGCCGAUCAGCUGGUUGGGGGGGUGCUGGCCUACCAAGGCGGUGACGGGUAGCCGGCCUGAGAGGGUGACCGGCCACACUGGGACUGAGAUACGGUCCAGACUCCUACGGGAGGCAGCAGUGGGGAAUAUUGGACAAUGGGCGAAAGCCUGAUCCAGCCAUGCCGCGUGUGUGAAGAAGGUCUUCGGAUUGUAAAGCACUUUAAGUUGGGAGGCGUUACCAACAGAAUAAGCACCGGCUAACUUCGUGCCAGCAGCCGCGGUAAUAC
rnacentral:rRNA from 1 species